CCCUUCGUUUUCCUGCUGUUGGCCUGUCCUGUUUCUGCGUCAUGUAGUACAGUACAGUACAGAUGGCUCGUCGAAAGAGACAUGCAUGGUGUCUGCCGACCAGAAUGUAGAUACUGCAGGGCCGCUCCGGCUGCACCGCGAUCCGCGACAGAAGCCGGAGACGAAGAUCGACGGAGGCGGAGCAGGAGCACUUUGCCUUUGUGCGUAGAUAGCUCUGGCGCUUCGGUCCUUUGGUCUGGCUCCAUGUAUUGGUAUAGAAGGAACAAGAAACACCGGCGCCGGCAACAUGUACUUGUAUUCAGUCAGAUACCGUCGCCUGUAUAGAAACUAGGAGUAUAUACAAGAAAUAAAGGAAAACAAGAAUGCACGACGCACAAAAUAAACGGGCCUAUAAGCACAGAGCGUGCCGGCGAUAGAGCGGAGGACUCCGUGAGGGCCGGCCGGGCGAUCGCCGGAGGGGAGGUCGGCACUGCACACCUAUACUAGCUCGCUGCUUGGGACUUGGGAGGCAGGCGCGCUGGCGAAGUGGCUGUGCUUGCAGUCUGCCUCCUCGUACGUGAUUGAACAGAUGCAGCUAACAAAAGGU
rnacentral:lncRNA from 1 species